CCACCUCUUCUGUCGACUAGUGGUGUCUACACCGGGGCUUGGGGUGGCUUAAUUACAUUAAUUACACAGGAUGUGAAAUUUUGUAGUGUUGAACUUAAGGCAACAUAGACCAGCCCUCAGUAACCAACUUCCAUUUCCCCAGGUCUUGCUGAGCCCUCCCCCAAAAUCUCCCCAGGAAGCAGCCUGAGUUUGAAUCAUCUAGAUUCUAUACUGAAAAUCCUGUGUCCACCUCAAUGUCUGUGCAGCACCUGGCACAACAGGGCCUGUCACUGUAUUUAAGGAUUAGAAUAAGGAAAAUAAUAUAAAACAGAGGAAACAAAUCAACCAAAUACAGAAGCCUUGGCGUGCUGCUAAUCCCUUUGCUCAGCCCACAGAAAGUGACAGACUCUGUAAUACUGCAGUAAAUACGUCCCUCUCCGGUCCAGUUCCAGUCUCCUCAGAGCAGCCAGAAGGGAUUGAGAAAGAAGAUGUGCGAAUGCAGCUGAAGAGACAUCAGACCCCCAGCCCGACACAUUGCAGCAAAUCCUCCAAGCGAGCCAAAAUCAAGGUGACCAUUGUCUCCCACGGGGAAGCUGCUGGCACGGGGAAUGGAGCGCCCCUUGUUGCACAGCCGGAAA